rnacentral:rRNA from 1 species
CAAUAGCGUAUAUUUAAGUUGUUGCAGUUAAAAAGCUCGUAGUCGGAUUUCGGGUGGGACGCAGCGGUCUCGCAUUGCGUUUGUACUGCUGCAGCCCUCCUUCUUGCCGGGGGCGGCCUCUCGGACUUCACUGUCUGGGGGUCAGAAUCGGCGAUGUUACUUUGAGUAAAUUAGAGUGUUCAAAGCAAGCUUACGCUCUGAAUAUAAUAGCAUGGGAUAACACGACAGGACUCUGGCCUAUCGUGUUGGUCUAUAGGACCAGAGUAAUGAUUAAGAGGGACAGUCGGGGGCAUUCGUAUUCCGUUGUCAGAGGUGAAAUUCUUGGAUUUACGGAAGACGAACAUCUGCGAAAGCAUUUGCCAAGGAUGUUUUCAUUGA